AUGCUGGCUACUCCCCACAGCCCUUGGGGGAAGAGCUGGGAAGGUUCAGGAGGCUGGGCCCCUGACUGUGCCUUGGUGUGGUGGUGGGUAGUGUCCUCCUUCGUGUUUGUCCUGGCCAUCUUGCUGCUGCUGCUCUACCAGCGGGACCCCCAGUGCUGCCAGUUCCUCUGCUCCUGCCGCUUCUUCCAGGGUCCUAGCCAGUGUGACUGUCCCCCUCCCUACUUUAGCAAUAACCAGGACUUGGUGGGACCCCCAGCCAGAUCCCAGCCAUCAGAGAGGAUGAGAACUAGAGUGCAGGGGCAUUUCCAGAGUGAUGAAGUAUUCUGUGUGGGACUGCCCAACAACUACCAGCUACCCCCCUGGCGCCCCCCACGUCUUCCCAGCUAUGAGAGUGUUCGAAAGAAGGACCGGCAGCAACAGAUCCACCGGCUGAUUGCACAUCGUUUUGGACUAUGGGCCUGCAGAGAGCUUCCACCAACCUAUGAGGAAUCCCUGGGACCGCUCCCUGAGGUGCCCCCCAGUUCUGGCUCUGCCCACCCAUUCCAGAGAACAACUGCCUUCCCUACUCAGAGGAACACCGCAGUGUAG
rnacentral:lncRNA from 1 species